UCAGGAAAAGCCGCCGCCUCUUGAGGCGCUGAAUGGGAACAAUGGGAGCGCCCGCCCAAAGACCUCGCCGCCCGCUCAGUCAGUCCUGGUGCGCCGAGGAAAGUCAACAGCAUCUCCAAGUAUUCGAACCGAUAUCCUCUGAAGUGCCUCCGAGUCUAUCGUUAUACAUCAACAUCCAUGAAUAAAUAACUUUAUUGGCGUUUAGAUGGCCGUUGUGCUCUUAUCUAGCAUUAUUGUUUACUAGAUUUAAUUAGUGCUCUCAAAUAGUAUUCUUGAGGUUGAUUUGCACUGGGAGCUGUUUUAUGAUCCUUAUUUCAUUCAUGUAUCUUCAGACUGAAAGUAUUUAAAGGCUUUCUUUACUUUUAUCUCUA